GAUGAACGCUGGCGGCGUGCUUAACACAUGCAAGUCGAACGGAAAGGCCCAAGCUUGCUUGGGUACUCGAGUGGCGAACGGGUGAGUAACACGUGGGUGAUCUGCCCUGCACUUCGGGAUAAGCCUGGGAAACUGGGUCUAAUACCGGAUAGGACCACUUCUUGGAUGUUGUGGUGGAAAGUUUUUUGGGUGUGGGAUGAGCUCGCGGCCUAUCAGCUUGUUGGGGGGGUAAUGGCCUACCAAGGCGUCGGCGGGUAGCCGGACAGUGGGAGUGUAACGCCACAUUGGCUCUGAGAGGAGGCACAGGCUGCGAAGAGAGGAAGCAGGGGGCAAGCCUGAACAAUGGGUGCCGGCCGGAUGCAGAGGGGCCGCGUGGGGGAUGACGGCCUUCGGGUUGUAGAAUCCUUUCGCGAGGGACGAGGCGUUUUGUGACGGUACCUGGAGAAGAAGCACCGGCUAACUACGUG
rnacentral:rRNA from 1 species